UCGGCUUAGAGUUUGAUCCUGGCUCAGAUUGAACGCUGGCGGCAUGCCUUACACAUGCAAGUCGAACGGCAGCACGGGAGCAAUCCUGGUGGCGAGUGGCGAACGGGUGAGUAAUAUAUCGGAACGUGCCCAGUAGUGGGGGAUAACUACUCGAAAGAGUAGCUAAUACCGCAUACGACCUGAGGGUGAAAGCGGGGGAUCGCAAGNCCUCGCGCUAUUGGAGCGGCCGAUAUCAGAUUAGCUAGUUGGUGGGGUAAAGGCCUACCAAGGCANCGAUCUGUAGUUGGUCUGAGAGGACGAUCAGCCACACUGGGACUGAGACACGGCCCAGACUCCUACGGGAGGCAGCAGUGGGGAGUUUUGGACAAUGGGGGCAACCCUGAUCCAGCAAUGCCGCGUGAGUGAA
rnacentral:rRNA from 1 species